rnacentral:rRNA from 1 species
AUCUCUGUAGAGUCUGCAUAUCAAUAAGCGGAGGAAAAGAAACUAACAAUGGAUUCCCUCAGUAACGGCGAGUGAAGCGGGAAGAGCUCAAAUUUGAAUCUUCAAGGUUCUACCUUGACGAAUUGUAGUUUAAAGAAGUGUUUUCUGUUGGUGUUUUGGUAAAAGUUCUUUGGAAUAGGACACCAUAGAGGGUGAGAAUCCCGUAUUUGACCAUUACUUCCAGCGUUGUGAUACACUUUCAAAGAGUCGGAUUGUUUGGGAAUGCAGUCCAAAAUGGGUGGUAAAUUUCAUCUAAAGCUAAAUAUCGGCGAGAGACCGAUAGCGAACAAGUACCGUGAGGGAAAGAUGAAAAGAACUUUGAAAAGAGAGUUAAACAGUACGUGAAAUUGUCAAAAGGGAAGCGUUUGACACCAGUGUUGUUUUUCCGAAAAUCAAUUACGAAUGGCUUGAUUUUGUGUUGUAUUGACCUUAUCAGCUUUCUGCACUUUUUUCGAGUCUUUCUUAAUGCACUUUUCGGUUAACAAGCCAACAUCAAUUUCUUUUGUUGUAAAAGAGUAUUCGGAAGGUGGCUUUCUUUUCGGAGAAAGUGUUUAUAGCCCUAUACUUCUACAAUCGGAGAGAUUGAGGUCUGCAGCGUAGAUCCUUCGGGGUUAGAUACACUUGUGCUAAGUUGUAGCUUUUCAUAGACAACUUGUUGACUAUGUUUAGUCAUGCGGCUUACUCGCUUGUGCUAUUUUACCUACGCUUAGGAUGUUGACUGAUAUGUAGUCGUA